rnacentral:rRNA from 1 species
GACGAACGCUGGCGGCGUGCUUAACACAUGCAAGUCGAACGGAAAGGCCCUGCUUUUGUGUGGUGCUCGAGUGGCGAACGGGUGAGUAACACGGGAGUAACCUGCCCUUGACUUUGGGAUAACUUCAGGAAACUGGGGCUAAUACCGGAUAGGAGCUCCUGCUGCAUGGUGGGGGUUGGAAAGUUUCGGCGGUUGGGGAUGGACUCGCGGCUUAUCAGCUUGUUGGUGGGGUAGUGGCUUACCAAGGCUUUGACGGGUAGCCGGCCUGAGAGGGUGACCGGCCACAUUGGGACUGAGAUACGGCCCAGACUCCUACGGGAGGCAGCAGUGGGGAAUAUUGCACAAUGGGCGGAAGCCUGAUGCAGCAACGCCGCGUGCGGGAUGACGGCCUUCGGGUUGUAAACCGCUUUCGCCUGUGACGAAGCGUGAGUGACGGUAAUGGGUAAAGAAGCACCGGCUAACUACGUG